rnacentral:rRNA from 1 species
GCCUACGGCCAUGCUACCCUGAACACGCCCGAUCUUGUCUGAUCUCGGAAGCUAAGCAGGGUCAGGCGUGGUUGGUACUUGGAUGGGAGAAAUUCAAAAUGGUUAUUUUAAAGCUUCCACUUUGCUUGAGCCA